rfam:Gossypium raimondii chromosome 3, whole genome shotgun sequence.
AAUCUGUUGUAAGGGCAUUAUUGAAUCAACAUUUUGAUGCGUUCCCACACCUCAUAAAAGCUUUCUCCUUCUAUCUGUCUAAAUAUAGCAAUCUCUCUUCUUAAUU